rnacentral:rRNA from 1 species
GGAAGCUUGCUUCCUAUGAAAUCGAGUGGCAAACGGGUGAGUAACGCGUAAACAACCUGCCCCUCGGAUGGGGAUAACAGCCGGAAACGGCUGCUAAUACCGAAUACGAUCUUUUCGUCGCAUGACGGAAAGAAGAAAGGAUGGCCUCUAUACAAAGCUAUCGCCGAAGGAGGGGUUUGCGUCUGAUUAGCUGGUUGGAGGGGUAACGGCCCAACAAGGCGAUGAUCAGUAGCCGGUCUGAGAGGAUGAACGGCCACAUUGGGACUGAGACACGGCCCAGACUCCUACGGGAGGCAGCAGUGGGGAAUCUUCCGCAAUGGACGAAAGUCUGACGGAGCAACGCCGCGUGAGUGAAGAAGGUCUUCGGAUUGUAAAGCUCUGUUAUACGGGACGAAAAAGACGGAUGCCAACAGUAUCCGUCCGUGACGGUACCGUAAGAGAAAGCCACGGCUAACUACGUGCCAGCAGCCGCGGUAAUACGUAGGUGGCAAGCGUUGUCCGGAAUUAUUGGGCGUAAAGGGCGCGCAGGCGGUUCGGUAAGUCUGUCUUAAAAGUGCGGGGCUUAACCCCGUGAGGGGACGGAAACUGUCGAACUUGAGUGUCGGAGAGGAAAGCGGAAUUCCUAGUGUAGCGGUGAAAUGCGUAGAUAUUAGGAGGAACACCGGUGGCGAAAGCGGCUUUCUGGA